rnacentral:rRNA from 1 species
GUGGGGAAUAUUGGACAAUGGGCGCAAGCCUGAUCCAGCCAUGCCGCGUGAGUGAUGAAGGCCCUAGGGUUGUAAAGCUCUUUCACCGGUGAAGAUAAUGACGGUAACCGGAGAAGAAGCCCCGGCUAACUUCGUGCCAGCAGCCGCGGUAAUACGAAGGGGGCUAGCGUUGUUCGGAAUUACUGGGCGUAAAGCGCACGUAGGCGGGUAUUUAAGUCAGGGGUGAAAUCCCGGAGCUCAACUCCGGAACUGCCUUUGAUAAUGGGUACGUAGAGUAUGGAAAAGGUAAGUGGAAUUCCGAGGGUAGAGGUGAAAUUCGUAGAUAUUCGGAGGAACACCAGUGGCGAAGGCGGCUUACUGGUCCAUUACUGACGCUGAGGUGCGAAAGCGUGGGGAGCAAACAGGAUUAGAAACCCUAGUAGUCC